rnacentral:rRNA from 1 species
GACGAACGCUGGCGGCGUGCUUAACACAUGCAAGUCGAACGGUAAGGCCCUUCGGGGUACACGAGUGGCGAACGGGUGAGUAACACGUGGAUGAUCUGCCCUGCACUUCGGGAUAAGCCUGGGAAACUGGGUCUAAUACCGGAUAGGACCCUGGGAUGCAUGUCCUGGGGUGGAAAGCUUUUGCGGUGUGGGAUGGGCCCGCGGCCUAUCAGCUUGUUGGUGGGGUGAUGGCCUACCAAGGCGACCACGGGUAGCCGGCCUGAGAGGGUGACCGGCCACACGGGGACUGAGAUACGGCCCAGACUCCUACGGGAGGCAGGAGUGGGGAAUAUUGCACAAUGGGCGCAAGCCUGAUGCAGCGACGCCGCGUGAGGGAUGACGGCCUUCGGGUUGUAAACCUCUUUCAGCACCGACGAAGCGCAAGUGACGGUAGGUGCAGAAGAAGGACCGGCCAACUACGUGCCAGCAGCCGCCGUAA